rnacentral:rRNA from 1 species
GCAAGUCGAACGGCAGCGCGGGGGCUUCGGUCUCUGGCGGCGAGUGGCGGACGGGUGAGUAAUAUAUGGGAACGCGCCCGGCGGCGGGGGAUAACUCUGGGAAACCAGAGCUAAUACCGCAUGCGUUUCGCCUUUCGGGGCGAAAGAAAGCGGGGGACUUCUUCGGAGGCCUCGCACCGGCGGAGCGGCCCAUAUCCGAUUAGCUUGUUGGCGGGGUAACAGCCCACCAAGGCCGCGAUCGGUAGCUGGUCUGAGAGGACGGACAGCCACACCGGGACUGAGACACGGCCCGGACUCCUACGGGAGGCAGCAGUGGGGAAUAUUGGACAAUGGGGGCAACCCUGAUCCAGCAAUGCCGCGUGUGUGAAGAAGGCCUUCGGGUUGUAAAGCACUUUCGCGGGGGAAGAAAAAGCGAGGGGUAAUAUCUCUCGCGCCUGACGGUACCCCGAGAAGAAGCACCGGCUAACUACGUGCCAGCAGCCGCGGUAAUACGUAGGGUGCGAGCGUUAAUCGGAAUUACUGGGCGUAAAGCGUGCGCAGGCGGCCUGUCAAGUCGGGUGUGAAAUCCCCGGGCUCAACCCGGGAAUUGCGCUUGAAACCGGCGGGCUAGAGUACGGCAGAGGAAGGUGGAAUUCCGUGUGUAGCGGUGAAAUGCGUAGAUAUACGGAAGAACACUCAUGGCGAAGGCAUCCUUCUGGGCCGUAACUGACGCUCAUGCACGAAAGCGU